rnacentral:rRNA from 1 species
CAGCAGCCGCGGGAAUACGUAGGGUGCGAGCGUUAAUCGGAAUUACUGGGCGUAAAGCGUGCGCAGGCGGUUAUAUAAGACAGAUGUGAAAUCCCCGGGCUCAACCUGGGACCUGCAUUUGUGACUGUAUAGCUAGAGUACGGUAGAGGGGGAUGGAAUUCCGCGUGUAGCAGUGAAAUGCGUAGAUAUGCGGAGGAACACCGAUGGCGAAGGCAAUCCCCUGGACCUGUACUGACGCUCAUGCACGAAAGCGUGGAGAGCAAACAGGAUUAGAUACCCGCGUAGUCCCUGUCUCUUAUAC